rnacentral:lncRNA from 1 species
AUUCGAAGUUUGGAUCUUGAGCUUGGAAUAGCUCAAAGCUCUCCUGAAUUUUCCCCAGAAUCUGGAGUAAAGAAAUUCAUCUGUAAAAUAUUGUUACUCAAGUGUUUAUAGAUGUUAUAGUUAAUGUGAACUUUGCAAAAGGAUAUUCUUUAACAGAAACAUCACAUACCAACUCUGCGAUCAACCCAGGAAUCCGAUUUCCCAAAGGGAUCUAUUCCUGUCAGAAGAUGAUUUCUGAAGAAGUCUGUUGGCUAAGAUACCCAAAUGCAAAUGUGUAAUUCCAAUUGCUAUUGUACUAAAUUUCCUUGUUUCUAUCCCCCAGUCCUGGUUUCUAAACUUCUAUCUUAGGGGCUGACUCUCCCCUUGUGACCUGUCUGCCCAUCAGGGAAAGCAGUCGCUGGACAUCCCUCACAUCUCCAAGCAGAUUCCCAGCUACCUGACCAUAACUAUUGCUUUCCUUAAAUUUUGGGUCUUCUCCUAUGUUUUAAAUCAUGCAUACUCAUUCAGCUGGACAUAUAAUCUCUGAUUCAUCUCUCUAGUUGCUUCUAGGGUAAAAGCACUCAUAGGAGUCACUCAGAUGCCAGAUGCCAGCAUAACCUCGGCAAACAUACCAGCCUGACGCUCUGGACACAGCCUACAGUCAAUACCUCUCUCUCCUAAUGGGUCUUCCUGGCCUCUAAGUUCUUAUCUGGUACCCACUGCAGCUGGGAUCUUGGCAUAUUUGUGGUUCUGAACUUCCAAGGCCAGGCAGUUUUCCUGCUCAGGCCUCCCUCACUUGCAUGCUUGCAAAAGGAAUAAUUAAAAUUGCAGAAGCCAAGAGUGUGAAGGAAAUGAAAAACCAAAAAACCAUCUAGUGAUUUUUCUUGUUUCAUUCCAGAUUAUUUUCCAAAAGGGUGACCUUCCAUUGGAACCCAUCACUCUCUUCUUUUUCGGAAAUUCUUUCAGUGGCUUCUCCCCACUUGUCCUCAAGCUCUCCUUCAGUUGUCCAGGAUUUUUCAGUCUAGGAAUUUCUAGAGCACAAAGUUUUAUUUUGACCUUGGCAGAAGGAAAGGGAAGGAAGAAAGAAGAAUAUGAUGUGCCUGCUUCAGCUACCUUCUUGGCUGUUGGGACAAAUUGUUCUCAUCCAUCUGUUCAUCUGGACAAGGUCUUCAAAUACUUGAGGUAGUUAUGCUCACCAGUUCAUUGAUUGGUUUGCAGACUGUCAGUUACCCACAACCUGGCUUAGCCCAUCUGCCAACAUGGAUUUACUAGGAUGUGACUGCUGUGCAUGCUGCAUCUUCUUGGAGUCACCGGUGAGAGUUGGGUGAAAGGCAAACACUAAAAGGUGGCUGAGCAGCUCUGCAAGGGGGACUAGUCCUUCAAGAACACCUCAUAUUUCUCAGCAACAAGAUAUCCAGAGCUUGGUGCAUUGUAAACAGUUAAUAAAUGCUUAUUGAUUAACUGAUGGAUGUGUCA